UAAAAAUCCAAACUUUUUGGGUUGGGAAAUCAUUCCAUAAAGAAGAGUUUUGUCCAUAAUAUAUUUCUGGUCAUGAGUUGUUUGGGAGUUUGUUAAUAAACUUCCUUCUUUUUCUCUCUUUCUUGACUAUUCUCUAGUUAUAUUAUUUGUGGCUUCCUUUUAAUUAGUUUAGUUUGUGGCUAAAAUGUAGAGGUUAGUUGGAGCCCUCUACUAUAUAAACCCCAUCUCAUUUGUAUAAAAACACACAACAAAAAAACCUUCUUCCUCUCCUUUGUUUGCUUCCUUAAGUCUGAAGGGAACACUAGCUGUGGAUCUGAGAACAAUAGACCAAUUUUAAUUGUUCGAAAAGGAUGAGCAUUUUUUGAGCUCACCAUUUGUAGUUUUUUCCAUCAAGCGCAGUGAUCUUGAUAGAUCGAGUUUCUGUCAUACCCAAUCUAUUCAAGAUCACUGUUCUCGAUGGGAAAAAUUACAAGCAGUGGGCUCGAAGAAUGUUCAUCUUUUUUGAACAAUUAAAAUUGAUUUAUGUCCACCCGAACCUACUCAGCCUUUUCUUGGUCCUAGAGAAGGCAUCCCUGAACUAGAUUACACUCCUGGUCAAGAACACGGAUAGUACAUGGAUAAAACACAGAUUCACAGUAAAGCCCAUUAGGUGAGAGAAUUAGAGCCUAAUGCACACGGAGCCCACCAUAUUUGGUGAGCUUUGUUUUUAGCUUAUGUAAUGUAGCCUGUAGGGAUGUACGUGUGGGUGUAUUGAAACAUCAAUAAUGUUUGGCAACAAGGAUAUGGAUACCACCAAAGAUUUCAUUAUGCAGACUAAUCAGCCAAAAAAUGUCAAGAUGCAGAUACAAUGAAAAUGGAUUGUACAAAAAAGAUUUGGUCUUUAAGAGCCAAUACAGACACACAAGUAGACAAGGGGAAAACAUUAAUGU